AAAUUUUCCUGCACAAAGCUAGUCGAAAUUGUUUGGAGGAACCAGGAGCACAAUGGGUUCCUUGCCAAUUAUUGUUACCCUCGCCGUUGUGGUGUUUCUGGCACACUCUGUCCACUGUCGCAACCCGUGUAGAUCGGAUGAAGAAUUACUACGGUGUCGCGAUAAGGAGGCAUGUUUCUGUCGCCCGGGGCUCCACCGUUACAAGAACAUGUGUCUCGAGGAAAGAAAAUGCGUCCCAGGAGCGUCGCAUUUGAGAUGCAGAGCGAAUGAAGCGUCUUUCCAUUGCGGUAGUGUGCAGGCGUGCUUCUGCUAUGCAGGAUUUGUGCGGUACCAAAACAACUGCAUCCCGAAAUCAGCUUGCACACCAGUGAAUAAAUGAUUAACAAACGAUCAGUCACAUUCUUACUAUCGCAAUAAGUAAAUGACAAUAAAUUAUUAGCACCACCUGAGUACGCAAUCAAGCUAA